UGCGUAGGGGGCAAGCGUUGUCCGGAUUCACUGGGUUUAAAGGGUGCGUAGGUGGGUCUGUAAGUCAGUGGUGAAAUCUCCGUGCUUAACAUGGAAACUGCCAUUGAUACUAUAGGUCUUGAAUUUUCUGGAGGUCAGCGGAAUAUGUCAUGUAGCGGUGAAAUGCUUAGAUAUGACAUAGAACACCAAUUGCGAAGGCAGCUGGCUACAGGGAUAUUGACACUGAGGCACGAAAGCGUGGGGAUCAAACAGG
rnacentral:rRNA from 1 species